GCCCCUGUAGCUCAGCUGGAUAGAGCAGUGGACUUCUAAUCCGCCGGUCGCAGGUUCGAAUCCUGCCGGGGGCACCC
rnacentral:tRNA from 1 species